rnacentral:rRNA from 1 species
GACGAACGCUGGCGGCGUGCUUAACACAUGCAAGUCGAACGGUAAGGCCCUUCGGGGUACACGAGUGGCGAACGGGUGAGUAACACGUGGGUGAUCUGCCCUGCACUUCGGGAUAAGCCUGGGAAACUGGGCCUAAUACCGGAUAGGACCACUGCCUGCAUGGGUGGUGGUGGAAAGCUUUUGCGGUGUGGGAUGGGCCCGCGGCCUAUCAGCUUGUUGGUGGGGUGAUGGCCUACCAAGGCGACGACGGGUAGCCGGCCUGAGAGGGUGACCGGCCACACUGGGACUGGGAUACGGCCCAGACUCCUACGGGAGGCAGCAGUGGGGAAUAUUGCACAAUGGGCGCAAGCCUGAUGCAGCGACGCCGCGUGAGGGAUGACGGCCUUCGGGUUGUAAACCUCUUUCAGCACCGACGAAGCGCAAGUGACGGUAGGUGCAGAAGAAGGACCGGCCAACUACGUGCCAGCAGCCGCCGCGGUAA